rnacentral:pre_miRNA from 1 species
CUUUUAUUACCUUAGGUGUUGGAUGACUGGUUUGAGUCUGAGCCCUUGAAAGCAACUCUUGCCACAGAUGCUGUGAUUGGAGCCAUGACAA